rnacentral:rRNA from 1 species
GACGGAGGGUGCAAGCGUUGUUCGGAAUUACUGGGCGUAAAGCGCGGGCAGGUGGCCUUUUAAGUCCUUUGUGAAAUUCCGGAGCUCAACUCCGGAUGUGCAUAGGAUACUGGAAGGCUAGAGACUGGUAGAGGCGAGCGGAAUUCCUGGUGUAGCGGUGGAAUGCGUAGAUAUCAGGAGGAACACCAAUGGCGAAGGCAGCUCGCUGGGACGGUACUGACGCUGAGACGCGAAAGCGUGGGGAGCAAACAGG